rnacentral:rRNA from 1 species
GUGGGGAAUUUUGGACAAUGGGCGCAAGCCUGAUCCAGCAAUGCCGCGUGCAGGAAGAAGGCCUUCGGGUUGUAAACUGCUUUUGUACGGAACGAAACGGUCCGGGUUAAUACCCUGGGCUAAUGACGGUACCGUAAGAAUAAGCACCGGCUAACUACGUGCCAGCAGCCGCGGUAAUACGUAGGGUGCAAGCGUUAAUCGGAAUUACUGGGCGUAAAGCGUGCGCAGGCGGUUUUGUAAGACAGGCGUGAAAUCCCCGGGCUCAACCUGGGGAUUGCGCUUGUGACUGCAAGGCUGGAGUGCGGCAGAGGGGGAUGGAAUUCCGCGUGUAGCAGUGAAAUGCGUAGAUAUGCGGAGGAACACCGAUGGCGAAGGCAAUCCCCUGGGCCUGCACUGACGCUCAUGCACGAAAGCGUGGGGAGCAAACAGGAUUAGAAACCCGGGUAGUCC